AAAGUCACGACGUCAGCGCGCUUCAACCUAUGCCGUCACGACAUCCGGCGCGUGAUAACAUGAGAAGGCGAUCACCGGAUUUCCAAAGCUCUCGUGUCAAGUAACAUUUGCGUACGUAAGGGACUUUGCCCACAACAUCGGGACAUAUAUAAACAUCCGUUUUGGUCUCUGUACCACGCCACAGUUCGUUAUAAUUUUUAUACGGCCCAUUCGCAUAUGGACUGCAGUUUCAUAUAAAGAUGGGAAUUAUACGUUUGUAACCAGCUCUUUCGAUAUGUCUCUAAAUUAUGAAAUAUCUUGCAGGUACAAAGGCAGACCUGCGACAGGAGAACAGCGCAAACGAGGAGUUGGUUUCCAAAGCAGCAGGCAAGAAGUUGGCAUCUAAGAUCAAAGCGUACAGCUACGUAGAAUGCUCAGCGAAAUCUGGAGCCGGUGUCAAAGAGGUAUUUGAAGAAGCUGCGAGGUCUGUUCUGCAACCAAAGUCCAGCAAGAAAAUGAGGCGGAGUUGUAGGAUUUUAUAACUCUUUUAAAAGUAUUCUGGAUUUUUUUUAUUUACUUUUGUUUCCAUGCCGGCAUGGACAACUAACAAGGCGUUGUAAAACAACAGCAACAACAACUAAGUCCUCCUUGUAAAUAUACAUAAAAUAAUGUUAGAAUAUCAAUGGUUUUACUCAAUUGCUACACCAUUUCAUUACGGUCGCAAUAAAAAUAAAUUAUGCAUCAAUAACA